GAGUUUGAUUCUGGCUCAGGACAAACGCUGGCGGCGUGCUUAACACAUGCAAGUCGAACGAUGAAACGGAACGGAAAUUUUCGGAUGGAAGUUCUGUGGAUUAGUGGCGGACGGGUGAGUAAUGCAUGAAGAACCUGCCUUUCACAUAGGAAUAGCCUCGGGAAACCGGGAUUAAUACCAAAUGACACUCCGAGAUCGCAUGUUUUUGGGGUUAAAGAUUUUAUCGGUGAAAGAUGGCUUCAUGUCCCAUUAGCUGGUUGGUGAGGUAACGGCUCACCAAGGCGACGAUGGGUAGCCGGCCUGAGAGGGUGAACGGCCACAUUGGAACUGAGACACGGUCCAAACUCCUACGGGAGGCAGCAGUGGGGAAUAUUGCACAAUGGAGGAAACUCUGAUGCAGCGACGCCGCGUGAGCGAUGAAGGUCUUCGGAUCGUAAAGCUCUGUCCUAAGGGACGAUAAUGACG
rnacentral:rRNA from 1 species